rnacentral:lncRNA from 1 species
AUUUAUUUGUUGGUUAGCCUAGUCCUAAUGGAAUUAGUUAAUAAUAUUUUAUUUAAGUGGUUAGCCUAGUCCUAAUGGGAUUAAUUAAUAAUAUUUUAUUUAGAUGACCUAGGCUAGAAUAUUAAUUUAGUCUAUUAAAAAACAAGAUGCCUGGGGUUUAGCCCAGGUUAGCAUGUUAGUAGGUACAUGCCUGCAUCUAAUCAACUGCAUGCACUGUGGUUUUGUACACCAUCCUCUGCCUAAACUUUUAGAAGAUUUGUCAAGAUCUUCACAAAGAGCUUGAGGAAGCUUGGCCGUCUGCAUAGUAUAUAGAGACAUAGAAGAAGCAACAGAUUGGAUUAAAGUGAUUCUUCUAGCUAUAGAAAGCAGUUGACUUUUCCAAGCAGAAGGUUUAGCCUGAACUUUAACCAGAACUCCCCUAUACAUAGCCUUGUCAGGUCUCCGUUUUUUAACAGAAACAUACUGCCCUGCUACUACCCAAGGACCCUCAGUUAACACAUACAACAAAUCCUCCUCAAGAACAAAACAAACAAUGAAGAACCCAUUGUCUAAAGCAACUAAUUGCGUUGGUCCCUUAAGUCUCCAGCGCUGCUUCAGACGUGCAAAGACAAAAUUAUAGGUAUGAGUCUUCCCUACAAAUUGGAUAAUCACAGAAUUUCUCCAAGGUCUAUAGAUCUAAUUCUUAACAUGUUCAGAAAAACGAAUUGAAUGACCAUAUGGAGAAUCUUCAACUUUAUAAUCACCAGAUUCAAUGGAGAAACCAUCCUUCUCCAUUCCUUCAGUAUAUUCAAAACAAGAAGAGCUUAGUAACUUAUCUUUGAAAUUGACCUCUAGCAUGGAAGGGAUCUGAUCGGACUAAUCCAUGCCACCAUCAUCGCCUUCAGGAGGCGCAAAAUCCUCAGAACGGAAUCGUUUGGACGAACCAUCCUUCAUGACACUCUUGGUAGGCCGGUGAGCCGAAAACGUGAAACCAGGAGAUGCAGUCGCCUUCGAGCCAAUUGAAUCUAAAAGAGUUGGGCAAGAGAACGUAGAAGGAGAGGGAGCGCGUGAAGCACAUUCCAACGCACUCAUAGCGACCCGAUUGAAUUCCUCAUUCAUGAUAUUUGUUGAUGAUAGAGUUUUCAUUCAUUCUUCCAGCUAAUUACAACCGGUAUGUAUGCUGCACAAAUGAAGAACAAUCAUUUGUCUUUCCUUAACUUUUCCCUAAGCAUUGUUUUGUUACAGACUUUUGCUUUGCUUAAAUGACAUUAUGAACCAAAAACAUAUUAGCUGCCCAUUGGUCCCUUAAAAUUAUUUUAAAUUUUCUCUUUCAAUAUUACUAACACCCACAUUAAGGGGAAAAUUUGAUAUAAAAAAAGGUUGUGCGGUGGAAUAAUGUUUUCUUGGUGACA